UGGGCGGCUGGGCCAGCAUGCGGAGCGGGUUUCUGCGCAGUGCCCGGCGCCUGUGGGCCCGCCGCGCCAUCAGCCGCAUGCCACCGCCUUCCGAGGAGCUCCUCGCCCGCGGCGGGCCCCUGCGAGCCUUCCUGGAGCGCCGCGUGGGCUCGGAGGCCGGCGGUCUGGACGCUGGGAGUCCCCAGCUUGCCGCGGCGGCCCGGCUGCUGAACGAGAAGGAGCGGGAGCUACGGGACACUGAAUCCUUGCUGCACGAUGAGAAUGAAGAUUUGAAGAAACUCGCAGAGAGUGAGAUAGCUUUGUGUCAAAAAGAAAUAGCCGAGCUGAAGCAUCGGGUAUGUUAUUAUGUUAUAUAUAAGAGUAAAGCACCGGGGCUGGGGAUUUAGCUCAGUGGUAG
rnacentral:lncRNA from 1 species